UGCUCCAGCCACUUUGGUUGUCCGCUCCAGGUUUCGCACGCUGGUUCUUUGCAGCUGUUGGUUGCUGGUGGCGAGGCGGGAGUCCUGGGGUGGCUCAAGAGUGUUCCUGCGGUGGUCUGGAGCUCAGGCAAAGGACUUCUCCACACCCCUAACAUCUCAGUGUGGCAGCAGCAGCUCUGGGAUGGGGAGGAAGCACUGGACCCAACUUCACCUUUGAAGAGCAUCAGAUUUAUCCGCUGGACUGCAGAGAGCCUGGAAGCUACUGCCCCAAGUACUUGCUGCACUGUGAGCCCUGCCAGAUUUCCUGCCUCCAUGGGCAGGGUCUGGCCACGCUCCUCCUACAGGGCCGGUCAUUUCUCCUCCAUCAGCUCCCUGUGGGUCCCCACAGAUGUUGUAUUUUCACUUGUCAAAUCUCCACCUAGCUCUGAUCUGCGCCUGCGGUGUGCUCUUUGACGUACAAGGCAACUUCUUCCUCAUCCUGGGUAAGGAAGCUUCUGUUUCCCCACCACGUGCCGCUGAAGGACACGGUCAUGUCUGCAGUCAUGCUUCCAAGUGGUAACGAAGAUGCUGAGCUGCACAGGUUAACCCAAGAAGGAGCAAUCCCACAGAGGAGAGUGGUCUGCAGAACGGUAAGACCAGUGUCCUAGGGUGGUUUUUUUGUCACAUGCAGAAAUGCAUUUCACAUGUGCACACUAAACCUCACAAGUGCGCACACCCACACAGAGCCUACCCGGAUCGAGCAGCCGCAGGCUGUGGGGGUGUUUCGAAGUGUUUAUGACUCAAGCUCAAGAACACAUUGUUAAAGCAAGGCUCUGCAUUUUGUUGUUGUUGCUGACUUUCAAGUGAAGUAGGCAGAGACGUGCAGAGUGCUGUCCUACCUGCUGAGAGCAUAAAGGGAACAAAAGCUGCCACAAAACCUUACAGCCAAGAGAGAUGCCUUUGUAAUUUUAGAAACAGAACUGCUGUGGAAACAAUAUGUUGUGUGAGUAAGUGCUCCUCGGUGGUGGUACAAGCCUAAUGCUUCAGCCAUCCCUGCAGGACAAGGUUGGUCUGCAAUUUGAAAUACAAGGGACCUGACUCUCGCUGUGUGCUGUAAAAGGCAGAAAGUAAAGUGGGACCAGAAGCUGAGAGGCACAAGCAGGCUGCUGUGGUUACCUGGCACAGGGAAAGCAGGCCCUCUGCUCCCCUGGAUGUGCAGGAAGAGGCUGGGCCCUCCAGCCUGGUGGGCACAGCAGCGUCAGUGGUUUUUCCAUGGCGUGGGCUGUGGAGGAGUUACUGCUAAUCGCUGCAUGAGGGAAACGCGCUCAGUGCCUUCUGGAAUGCUGCUUUUUGGGAUUGUGCCUCUGUUUUCAGAAGCUGCUCCCUAGUACCGUUACAAUGAAGGUCUGUCAUCCCUCAAGGGUGACUGUCAACUCAACUGAUGUUAGCGGCACAGCAAGCCAUCUCCAGCCCAAACAGACGGGGGAACCAACCAGCAGGUUGCCACCUCAUCCCACAGGAGAUGAGGGCAAGUGAGAGUUUGAAGCAAUCCCCAACUUGAUUUCCCUGUUACCCAGCUGUCGAUGUGACCCUGCAGUCUGUCCUGAGCUCAGGCCAGCCUCUUGCACAGCUGCCUCCAUGCCAAGUGUUCAUCCCUCCUCACUCCCUGCUCUUCUGCAGAGCUCUUCCUGGAGGAGCUCGCAGCCUUUUAUAGCCAUGUCUGGACCAGGCGCUUUGCCUGGGAUGGCCGUCUGCCCCGUGUGAGCCGGGGAGCCUUCUGCAUCUUUCCAGAAAGGGCUGUGUAUUUUUUGGUUGCAGGACAGCAACCCACCUGCUGCACUCCGAGCUGCGCUGGAGCUGCUCAGUGAUCGAGCAAGCCAAAACGUGGUGUAGACCAGGAACCCAAGAUGCUGACAAGCGUGUUAGUGUGUUAGCCCCAAGCAAGCUGCCCCAUCCAAGGCAGCCUGUGCUGAGAUGGGAGGUCAGCCCCAGUCUCCAGGCCUCUGCUUUCUAUGUGGUCUUACCCCAUAUUCUGCAGUAUACUCUUGGUCUUGUGUGAUGUAGAGGUGUAUCGUGCUAGACAGCAAGUUCAUUUCAGGGCUGUGAGGAAGUCAGUGCUGUAGGUUGCCUCUGGGAACUUGCCAGGUACUUGAGGCUUGGUACAGUAUUUACUAAAGCUAACCACAUCCAAAUAAAAUAGAGGCUUUGCCAUCAGCCCUUUUCCUGUGCGCUGAAACGCUCCUUGUGCUUCCCCUGUUGAUCUAUAGAAAUCCUCUGGGUUCUGGCCUUUGCAGUCUCUCUUCUUGGACUGCCUGCGUUACAGUCACUUUAAGCCUGAUGCAGUUUGUACUUUUUAAUAUUAAAGACCUUGAACCACUGAAUUGUGGCUCAAUAGAAUAGGAAAGGGCAACGUUAGACCAGCUCAGCUGAUAGCUCUGUCUCUGGCAUUAGAUACGCAUCUCAUUUACGUUAGCAGUCUGUGAUCUCAUGCAAACAUGCCUCUGAGGAGAAUCAAGGUGAAAUGCCAGGGAUGUGGCCCUGGUGACACGACAAGCUCAAGACAAGCAAAUGAGACAGAUGGCUGCUGAUCAGCUCUUGCCUUGGGGCUUUGGCUGGUCAAGGAGGGGAUGAGGGCUGGAGCAAGGAGACAGACUGUCGGCAUGCCCAACCCCUCGAAACUGCUGUGCAAGAGACCCUGAAGACUUAUGAAGAAUAUGAAACACCACUGAGCAGGACCUCAGGAGCCAGGCUGCUGCCCAAGGGCAGGUCGUGUGUAGGAAGCACUGCACCCUGACCCACCAAAAUUACCAGCAGAUGGGGAAGCACCCUACAGCACCCCAAUUGCCAUGACCACCUUGCUUGUCUGUAUCAGGUGGAGUGAUGUCCAGCCAAAGGACAGGAGAAGCCAGGACUGCCACUCUGCAGAAAGGUUUGCUAUGCUGUUGGGGGCAUUCCCUACCAGAUGACAGGCAACGCCCUUGGGUUUUUCCUCCAAAUCUUCCUAUUGGAUGUUGUGCAGCUGGAGCCAUUCCAUGUCUCUUUGAUCAUUUUCCUUGGAAGAGCCUGGGAUGCAGUUACUGACCCUGCUGUUGGCUUCCUGGUCAGCAAGAGCCCAAGGAGAAAAUAUGGCAAGCUGGUCCCAUGGAUCGCAUGCUCCAUGCCAUUUGGGGUGGUCUGCUACUGCAUGAUGUGGUCCACUCUCUCGGAUGCCACCCCCACCUCCCUGAAAUUCCUGUGGUACCUGUUGAUGUACAGCUUCUUCCAGACUUGCAUGACUUGCCACCACGUGCCGUACUCUUCCCUGACAAUGUUCCUGGGAGGAACCCAAAGAGACCGUGACUCGGCCACUGCCUACAGAAUGGGGAUGGAGGUGUUCAGCACGCUUCUUGGGUCAGGAAUCCAGGGGCAGAUUGUGGGCAGCUACCAUGCUCGCAUGAUGAACAGCUGUUACGUGUCAAAUGAGACCCUGCCCAACACCAGCACCUACAGCCUCACGGACUCGCUGGAGAACAUUCGUAGGGCCUAUGUAUUUGCAUCCCUGGUCCUGGGAUCAAUCUAUUGCCUGUCCUGUCUGAUUCUCAUCUUCGGAGUCAGGGAAGAGCCUGUUUGUGCUGGCAUCAUCUUGAUACCGCAGAGGAGAGGGGAGAUGCUCUGGAGGAAGGAAGGCUCCAGCUGCCUGGGAGAUCCUGUGGGGAGCCGUGGGCCUGGGACAGGGUCCGCAGCUCACUGCUUCACAUGGAGCAGGUCUCGCCAACACACAACCUGCAGAGCUACGCAGGCCAGCCCGAGUGCGCAGUGCAAAGAGGCAAAAUCCUGCCUGGCCCCUCAGCCCCCUGGGGAAGGUUGAGCUGCCCUUUGCCAGCUGCCUGAGGAUGAUUGUGGGACACAAGCCCUACACCCAACUGCUGUGUGGCUUCCUCUUUGCGUCCCUGGCCUUUCAGAUCACACAGGGGAUCUUUGCCUUCUUCUGUACUCAUGCCGCAGGGCUGGCCGGGA